rnacentral:rRNA from 1 species
CUGAUCCAGCAUGCCGCGUGUGUGAGAAGGCCUUCGGGUUGUAAAGCACUUUUGUCCGGAAAGAAAUCCUUGGCUCUAAUACAGUCGGGGGAUGACGGUACCGGAAGAAUAAGCACCGGCUAACUACGUGCCAGCAGCCGCGGUAAUACGUAGGGUGCGAGCGUUAAUCGGAAUUACUGGGCGUAAAGCGUGCGCAGGCGGUUUGCUAAGACCGAUGUGAAAUCCCCGGGCUCAACCUGGGAACUGCAUUGGUGACUGGCAGGCUAGAGUAUGGCAGAGGGGGGUAGAAUUCCACGUGUAGCAGUGAAAUGCGUAGAGAUGUGGAGGAAUACCGAUGGCGAAGGCAGCCCCCUGGGCCAAUACUGACGCUCAUGCACGAAAGCGUGGGGAGCAAACAGGAUUAGAUAC